UAAUACGUAGGUGGCAAGCGUUGUCCGGAAUUAUUGGGCGUAAAGGGAGCGCAGGUGGGAAAGUCAGUCGAUUUUAAAAGUGCGGGGCUCAACCCCGUGAGGGAAUCGAAACUACUUUUCUUGAGUGCAGGAGAGGAAAGCGGAAUUCCUAGUGUAGCGGUGAAAUGCGUAGAUAUUAGGAGGAACACCAGUGGCGAAGGCGGCUUUCUGGACUGUAACUGACACUGAGGCUCGAAAGCCAGGGGAGCGAACGGGAUUAGAUACCCCGGUAGUCCUGGCCGUAAACGAUGGAUACUAGGUGUGGGAGGUAUCGACCCCUUCCGUGCCGGAGUUAACGCAAUAAGUAUCCCGCCUGGGGAGUACGGCCGCAAGGCUGAAACUCAAAUGAAUUGACGG
rnacentral:rRNA from 1 species